GAAGAAUCAGUGCGUGUCGGUGGAGCGGAGUCCAUGGCUUCAGCUUCUUUGGUCUGCUGCCCUGGAUUUUCUGACCCAGAUCCACUGCUCGUGUCUGCGGCAGCAUUCAUCUUCAUCGCCGCGGCCAGCAGCAGAAGCACAAACACUGCCGAUUUCCUCAUUGCUGUCCCUUUCUGUGGAUUGUGUCUCACCGAGUCCGACAGAAACCAAACUGCAGGGUGCAGAGACUGAAAAAACACCACUCCUAUUGAAAAGCUUUUCAAGCUUUCCACUCCCCCUCCGGCUUGUCACUGCAGGCUGCAUGAAUACCUGUCUGAUUUAGUGAUUGUGUUCAAAGUCCUGUAAUCACAUGUGACCUCUGUCCUCAAUACCUUGUGCAGGCCAUUGAUAAGUGUUGUUCACUCACUGAAAUUGAACAGAAAUGAAAACAAAGGGCAUAAAUACACAGAUAACGUGUAAUGCUGGGAGGAACCUUCAAAAAUUCCCUCCAGAAGUGACAAUUGAAUAUAUUUUUUUUUAAUUUGUCACAGGAAACUCUGCAGCGGCUGCUUGGUUGUGGAAAAACCUGUUUGGGCUCCCAUGUCACUGCGUUGAGAGGAUUUAGCUCCGGUUUGUGCUGGAAGCUGUCAAUCAGAUCUGGCAACCCUCGACUUCCGCGACGUCACUACGUCAGCACGUAAACGCGGGAAUUUGAGCGCGAGCCCAACACAGUGAAAUAUGAAGGUUUAAAAACGACCCAAGUGGCUGCUUGGCUUCUUCCCCGGUGGCUUUAGCGCGAACCGGAGCGCCGCGUUAAAGUUGUGGCGGCGAGACAACCGAUCCGACGCAUUUGAGUAUUGUCUGAAGUAAAAAAAAAAAAAAAAAAAA